CACUGCUAUCGGGGUUCGAUUAAGCCAUGCGAGUCGAGAGGGUUCAGACCCUCGGCGCACUGCUCAGUAACACGUGGAUAACCUACCCUGAGGAGGGGGAUAACCCCGGGAAACUGGGGAUAAUACCUCAUAGGUUUCAGAUGCUGGAAUGCUCUGAAACCGAAAUGCUCCGGCGCCUCAGGAUGGAUCUGCGGCCGAUUAGGUUGUUGUUGGGGUAACGGCCCAACAAGCCCGUCAUCGGUACGGGUUGUGAGAGCAAGAGCCCGGAGAUGGAUUCUGAGACACCAAUCCAGGCCCUACGGGGCGCAGCAGGCGCGAAACCUUUACAAUGCGAGCAAUCGUGAUAAGGGAACCCCGAGUGCCUGAAACCAGGCUGUUCAGGUGUUUAAAAAGCACCUGGAGAAAGGGCCGGGCAAGACCGGUGCCAGCCGCCGCGGUAAUACCGGCGGCUCGAGUGGUGGCCGCUAUUAUUGGGCUUAAAGCGUUCGUAGCUGGGUUGUUAAGUCUCUUGGGAAAUCUCACGGCUCAACCGUGAGGCGACUAAGAGAUACUGGCAAUC
rnacentral:rRNA from 1 species